CGGCUUUUUCCUUUAUUGACAGAGGAUAGACAGGAAAGAUGGGAGACAGAUGGGGGAUGACAUGCAGCAAAGGGCCACAGGUUGGAUUCAUACCCGUGUUACUGCAAAGGCCUCAGCCUACAAGGGGCGCACGCUCUUACUGGGUGAACUAGAGGC